GACGAACGCUGGCGGCGUGCUUAACACAUGCAAGUCGAACGGAAAGGCCCUGCUUUUGUGGGGUGCUCGAGUGGCGAACGGGUGAGUAACACGUGAGUAACCUGCUCUUGACUUUGGGAUAACUUCAGGAAACUGGGGCUAAUACCGGAUAGGAGCUCCUGCUGCAUGGUGGGGGUUGGAAAGUUUCGGCGGUUGGGGAUGGACUCGCGGCUUAUCCGCUUGUUGGUGGGGUAGUGGCUUACCAAGGCUUUGACGGGUAGCCGGCCUGAGAGGGUGACCGGCCACAUUGGGACUGCGAUACGGCCCAGACUCCUACGGGAGGCAGCAGUGGGGAAUAUUGCACAAUGGGCGGAAGCCUGAUGCAGCAACGCCGCGUGCGGGAUGACGGCCCUCGGGUUGUAAACCGCUUUCGCAUGUGACGAAGCGUGAGUGACGGUAAUGGGUAAAGAAGCACCGGCUAACUACGUG
rnacentral:rRNA from 1 species